CCUACGGGAGGCAGCAGUGAGGAAUAUUGGUCAAUGGGCGCGAGCCUGAACCAGCCAAGUAGCGUGAAGGAUGACUGCCCUACGGGUUGUAAACUUCUUUUAUACAGGAAUAAAGUGAGGCACGUGUGCCUUUUUGUAUGUACCUUAUGAAUAAGGAUCGGCUAACUCCGUGCCAGCAGCCGCGGUAAUACGGAGGAUCCGAGCGUUAUCCGGAUUUAUUGGGUUUAAAGGGAGCGUAGAUGGGUUGUUAAGUCAGUUGUGAAAGUUUGCGGCUCAACCGUAGAAUUGCAGUGGAUACUGGCCGGCUUGAGUACAGUUGAGGUAGGCGGAAUUCGUGGUGUAGCGGUGAAAUGCUUAGAUAUCACGCAGAACUCCGAUUGCGAAGGCAGCCUACUAAGCUGCCACUGACAUUGAGGCACGAAAGUGUGGGUAUCAAACAGGAUUAGAUACCCUGGUAGUC
rnacentral:rRNA from 1 species